UUAAAUUGAAGAGUUUGAUCAUGGCUCAGAUUGAACGCUGGCGGCAGGCCUAACACAUGCAAGUCGAACGGUAACAGGAAGCAGCUUGCUGCUUUGCUGACGAGUGGCGGACGGGUGAGUAAUGUCUGGGAAGCUGCCUGAUGGAGGGGGAUAACUACUGGAAACGGUAGCUAAUACCGCAUAACGUCGCAAGACCAAAGAGGGGGACCUUCGGGCCUCUUGCCAUCGGAUGUGCCCAGAUGGGAUUAGCUAGUAGGUGGGGUAACGGCUCACCUAGGCGACGAUCCCUAGCUGGUCUGAGAGGAUGACCAGCCACACUGGAACUGAGACACGGUCCAGACUCCUACGGGAGGCAGCAGUGGGGAAUAUUGCACAAUGGGCGCAAGCCUGAUGCAGCCAUGCCGCGUGUAUGAAGAAGGCCUUCGGGUUGUAAAGUACUUUCAGCGGGGAGGAAGGGAGUAAAGUUAAUACCUUUGCUCAUUGACGUUACCCGCAGAAGAAGCACCGGCUAACUCCGUGCCAGCAGCCGCGGUAAUACG
rnacentral:rRNA from 1 species